GAUGUUUCCAGUUCACUCAAGGAAAAGUGAGGUUCCUGCAGACUGAUACCUCACCCGCCCCGCUUUGGUGGCUGCUGUUUCCGACCCACAGUAGGUUUCCGUGUGUAUUUACUGAAUUAGAGAGAACCGAAUUUCUGACCUCCUUCUUGUCGCAGUUUUUGCCAGAAUGGGGCUGGGAGGGAGAAGGUGCAGCCUCUCGACUGGCCAGAUUCACUGAAUCGACGCUGAAUCUACGCCUCCGAGGCUCAAAAGGGCAACAGAGGGUGUAACCAGAACACCAUCAUGUCUGAAUUUCCAUCCAGCACAUACUCUUCUUCUGAGAUUCCGUUGCACAUGUGUUGGUCUACUUGAUAUCCUAUAGGUCACUGAGCUCCUGGAAACUACCAGUCUACUUUCUGCCUCUAUGGAUUUGCCUAUUCUGGUUUUUUUGGGUAAGUGGAAU